UACGUAGGAUGCGAGCGUUGUCCGGAAUCACUGGGUGUAAAGGGAGCGCAGGCGGGUCGGUAAGUCACUGGUGAAAUUCCCAGGCUCAACUUGGGGACUGCCAGUGAUACUGCUGAUCUUGGGUACAGAAGAGGUUGAUGGAAUUCCUGGUGUAGCGGUGAAAUGCGUAGAUAUCAGGAAGAACACCGAUGGCGAAGGCAGUCAACUGGUCUGUUACCGACGCUCAUGCUCGAAAGCGUGGGGAU
rnacentral:rRNA from 1 species